CACUCACUUAAGAUAUUAAAUAGUUACUUUGAAGAAUGGAGUAGAGAGUAAGGAGCGACCCAUGAUGAAGGCUACCAAAUUAGAAUUUGCUUUUCCUCCAUUUGUAAUUGACCAGAGUAAAAGCAUCUCCCCUUUUUAUUUCUAGUAUUUUUUUUCUAGUAUUUACUGCAUCAUGUGGUUGAGGAAAAAAUAUUGUUCCUAAACCAUGUGUUAUGCUCUGAAUUUUUGUGUCUCCCCCCCACCCUCAAUUCACAGGUUGAAACCUGAUCACCUUAUGAUGGUAUUAAUGAUAUGGGCCUUUGGGAGAUGAUUAUGUCAGAAUGUGGAACUCUCAUAAACUGGGCUAACCUUACAUAAGAGAUUCCAGAGACUUACCUUGCCCCUUCCCCCAUAUGAGGACACAGAAGUUGCCAUCUUUGCCAAAAAGCCCUUGACAAAUACCAAAUUUGCCGGCACCUGAUCUUGAGCUUUUCAGAUUUCAGUACUGUGAGAAAUACAUUACUCUUGUUUAUAAGCAAAACAGUCUAAGACAUUUGUUACAGCAGCCCAAAUGGACUAACAUCUUGGUUCUAGAAAUGUGGCAAUAGAGUAAUGUUGCAAAUACAAAUCCCAAGAUGAAAAUAUUGCUUCUGAAUUUGUAUUUACAUAUCAACUUUAGCUGUAUACACACCAAUUUCAGUGUCUUUGUCUUGAGUAGAAAGAAUCUUCAGCAAGUGUAUAAGAAGGGCUUGCAUUCUGAAGGUACAUUUACACCAGCUGAUUGGAUAGAAUUCAGCAUAUAAAAACAAUUUUCAUUCCACAUUAUAUGUACAAUGUUUUUAUUAAUCAAUUAUUAAUAAUGAACCAGAGUACUAUAGCAAUUAGGUAUAGCCAUAUCCUUUAAUCACAUGGUCAUUGAUUACACACAAGUGCUGUAUGUCAGGAAGUACAGUGAAGUAGUUGUUUGAGACUUUGCCAAGGCUGAAGCUGGGGAGCAGAUAAUCAUAAUUUCCCACAUUAAAGCUGACCAUCCCUUCAUUCCUAAUUCUUAACCUUUAGCCAAAAUAUACAAGUUUUUGAGUGCAGUCUGAUGCAAGGUCCAGUGGGCAGGACUUGUGAUGGUAAGGAGGGAAAAGUUUGACCUUGAAUGAUGCUAGGGGUUUUGUCUAAGCCAAAAAUUCUGGCUAGUAUUUAUUGAGAGCUCACUGUGUACUGCACUGUGUGCUUUUUAUCUAAUUUAAUCCUCUCAAUAUUGUUCAUUUAGUUCUGAUACUAUAUGAUGAGUAGCCCCAUCUACUAAUAUGGAAACCGAAGCUAAGAAAAGAUAAAGUCCUUUAUACAACUCACAUUGCAAGGAAGUUGCAGAGGCCAAGAAUUAAAUCUGGUACCAGAACUGAGUUCUUACUACAUAGUCUCAGAACUCUCACAUAUGUUUUUUUCUGUCUAAUAGCAUUUAAAGCUGCUUUACACUAACUUAACUACAGCUGAGGGAGUAGAAAGUAGCAACGAGUGUUUAUGUUAUGCCACUUUGAAUACUAGACAGGUGCAUGCCCAUUACUUCAUUUAAUCUUCUCAACCAAAUUGCUCAGUGGGCGUUUUCCCCAGUUUUCAUAAAUGAAGAAACUGACUCAAAACAUUAGAUUGUCCAGUGUCACAAAAUUUUUUAAUGACAGAGCUGAGAUUUAAAAUUUAUGGCUGUUGGAUUUCUAGCCCAUAUUUUUCUUGCUGUAGCAUGCUCUUUAUCUAAGCACCGAAAAUGUCCUGGUUAAAUGACAGUGGACGUGAGGACACUAUGCUCACUUUCUAUCCAUCCUAGUUGUAAUUUGCCUCUUUGUUUCUUUUCUUUUUCUCUAUGGUCCUCUUCAACUUAAUCUACUGACUCAAAUUCUUUCCUAGUUAAUCUUCAUUCCACAGAUAGUUAUGUCACAUAUUUAACAAUUUUGAAAAUACUCCUUUUAGGCAAAGUGUGGUGGUACACUCCUGUAAUCCCAGCAACUCAGAAGGCUAAGGCAGGAGGAUCGCAAGUUUGAGGUCAGCCUUAGCAACAUAGCAAGACCCUGUCUAAAAAUAAAAAGGACUGUGGAUGUAGCUCAGUGACAAAGCAUCCCUGGGUUCAAGCCCCAGUAUCAAAAAUGGGGAAAAGAAAACAAAGAAAAACACUCACUUAAAAAGUCUUAAAAUCACAAAAUAAUUGUGUUCUAUGUUAACAAAAAUGAUAUUUUGGCUAUUCUGUGAAGCUAAUCUAGCUGCUGAAGUGAUACCCCACUUUGGAACAUAUAACUUUCCUAGUAUUUGAUUAGUGUAAGGAGCUCUCUAUUUGCAAUUGAUUGAAAGAUUGACUUUGCCAUUAAAAAGAUAGGCUUAUUUCAGGAUAAUAGCUAAUCCUUGAAUGGGCAAAUCAUUAUGUUGCAAUUUCCCCAUAUACAUAUUCAUUCCCUAAUCUAACCCUAGCCCAACCCCAAAUUUAAUACUAACCCUAACCUUACCUC
rnacentral:lncRNA from 1 species